rnacentral:lncRNA from 1 species
UUUUUUGUGUUUUUAUGCUUCUAUAAUGUUUUUAAUUUUUUCACAUAAGCAUAACAAAUUAAAAAAUAACUCAAAUUCUAUGGAAAUCUACAUAAAUAGAAAAAUAAAACAAAAGUAGCACUAUAAAAAUAAAAUAAGCUAUUACAAAUUUGGAUGCCUCCUUAUUAGUGUUAAGCUUAACAUUGUAGCAUGAUGUAUGUAUCAAAUUGGUAUCCUUAUUUAUAUGUGGUGUAAUAUCGCAACAUGAUGCAUGUAUCAAACGACUCGAGAUUCUCUCAAAACUUCCACCCAUUAUGAGUCAAUGUCUUAUUUUUCUCUAAUUUGUUCAUCUUGAUAAAUAGCCUUUUCUCUCCAUCUCACCAUUCUUUAUGCCACAUAAUCACUAUCCCAUGAUUUUACAACUCUUUGAGCACUUCUCUUUCUUAUCGUUAUAUAAAUCCAUAGUAAUUUUUAUGAACUCGGUGUUUGCUUCCUUUGUGCUAGAUUUCAACAGCUCUUUCUUCUCAACCUUAUUUUCCAACCAUGCUCUUUAACAUCGAUUUCUUGGUAUUUAGAUUUCUCUAAACCUGCAUAUAUAGAGAAAUAAAAAAAAGUUAUGUUAUAAAAACAAAAUUAAAUAAGCUAUUACAAAUUAGGAUGAUUCCUUAUUAGCGCCUAGUAUAACAUCACAGCAUGAUGCAUAUUUCAAAUCAUCUCAAGAUUCUCUUCAACAAUUCUUGCCAUUGUGUGUCAAUGUCUUUUUAUUUUUCGUUCCAAGUGGUUUAACUUGAUAAACUAUCAUUUUCUCUCUAUCUCACCAUUAUUUAUGCCACACAAUCAUUAUCUCAUGCUUUCACAAUACUUUAAGCACUCCCCUUUUUUUUGACAAAUCAGUAGUAAUAUUUAAGAGAUCAAUGUUUGUUUUCUCAUUGACAAUUCACAAGCUUACUCUUCUACACCCAUUCUUAUCUUCUUUUACUUCAUUUAUCAGGCACAAGUCCCUAUAAUGUGAAGUCUUAAGGAAUUAUUUGUAUACUUUGUAAGUAACCUCUUUAUCGUGCACUCACAUUUUUAGCUUACCCUCUUUCACAUUGAUGAAUGCUUUACUAAUGGUAAAAAUAGGCAUUCUAAAAUGAUUGGCAUCUUGUCGUCUACUUCAAAAUCAAGAAUUAUAAAAUCAAUAGAGUUAUGAACUAACAAACUCUAAUGAGAAAAUCUUCAAUGAUUUCUUGGAGAGUAACUUUGGAGAUCAACUAGCUGCAAAACUUUGAUAGUGGGUUUGGUGUUUUCAAAAGAAAGUGUAUUGCACACAGAUAUUGGCAUUAAAAUGAUACUAUAUCUACAUCAUACAAUACAUAGAAAAUACCACUUUUACCAAUUUAAAUGUAAAGGGUGAAACUCGAAGGGUCCUUGAGCUUUUCUAGGAUCUUGCUCAUUACCCUUGAACAAUAAUAUUUAGUAUGUGCUACAUUUUCAAGCUUAUCUGACUAUUAUUUCAUUCCACUACAUCUCUCAUCUAUUUUACAUAUUUUGGAAUUUUCUUCAUAGUAUAAAUGAUAGAAGUAUUUAUAUUUUGUUCAUUUUAUGAUGUUAAGGAACUUACUGAAGAUUGCAUCCUCUUUGCUUUUUUGAGUUUUUGAGGAAUUGGUGCUGGAGGUAUCUUGAUUGCUAUAUCAAUAUGGUUAGUAAAUUUUCCAUAAACCAUAUUUUCUUAAGAAACUCUAUGAUUAGGUUUGGUACAUAUAUUAGAGUGCGACCUUCAUAGGAAUCAUUCUCUAUAAAAAAAAAUAUCUAGAAGCUUAUGAUCCUCAAAGUUUGUAUUUCUCUUUAUAGGCUUUACUUUAGGCAACUAUUCAUAUGCCUCUUUGAUUUUCUAUUUUGAAAGUACUUUAUCUAUGUUUCUUCCACUUCAUAAUAUUAUUACCAUUACUUACUUGGGAUUAGGAUCAGUGUUUCUUAAAAAGCCCACUUAGGUAUUUUAUUUUACGAUCCCCUUAUCUUUUCUACUUUCUACUAAAGUUUCCUAAACUACAACUCUUGAUAUUUCAUAUCUAUGACCAUCUUUGCUUAAUAAGUGAUAAUUUUUUUAACCAUAUCUUCUAUAGCACUUUGCUAACUACUUGUUUGAUUAUCCAGCAAUAACUAUUAAUCUUGUGGUAUGUACUAUUUCUCAGUAAUUUUUUAAUUCUGGCCUUAAUUUUUAUUUCAUGAAAAAUUGGGGUAGUUUAACGUAACAAUCCUUUUAAUCAUUAUGAGUUAUUUAAUAGUACAAAAAAGUUGAGUUUUUUCUUGAGCUAAAAGUUAAAAACUUUAGGCUAUGCUAGUCUUGGAUAAAAUGCUAAUGAGAUAUGGUCUAUGGAAAUAUGAGAGUGGAUUAGGUAAAUGUAAUAAAGUUUAACUUAAUUUUAUGUUAGCUAUGGAAAUAAGGAACCCGUAGAACAUUUUGGAGGUGAAUUUAGGUGAAUGUAUUUACCGAUAUAAAACUUAAUGCAAAGCGGUUAGUUUGGGAUGUCAUGAUUUGAGGGUGCAUUACAAAAAAUAUAACAAUAUUAGUGUUUUUGAGUUUCUACCUCACCACAGCCUCUAUAGAAAGUGGCAGGCUUCUAGGGGACUGUCACUAUAGUGGGAAAAUACCCACUAUAUCGGGAUUUGAUGAUGGUCACUACCACUAUAUCAAGUGAAAUCCGCUACAACGAUAUUGUUAUAGCGGGAUCAUGCUGGUAUAGCUGCAUAAAUCAUUGUUUAAGUAGAAAUUUUUCUAAAAAUAAUAUAUUAUUUCUUAACACAUUUUGGGGAAGGCACAAGCAAUUUGGGGAAAGAUUUACCUAUUUUGCACUAGAAAAUAUUUAUAAAGGUAAGUUACUUAUCCAUAUUCACUUAUUUUUCGAUUCCUUAACUUGAGCAUCACUAGUUUAUGGAUCUUUCAUAGAGUUUAACUUAACCAAGAUAUAUUUUCUGGUAUAAAGGGAUAAAUUUGGUGUAAAACCUUUGUGUUAUAAUUCAAGGUUGAUUAUUUUUUUAUGAUUAUACUUCACUAAUAUAACCAUAAAAUGGGUAAUUUUAAGGUGCAUUUUUUUUUUGAAAAAAUACCUAGAAUGGGUGGUAUGAUGAUAAUUAUCCAUGGGGUUUGUAAUUAGGUUAUAAUUCUCAAUGUUAUUUGUCAUUUUGUUGAUUUGGUUUUACAUUCAUAUUUCUAGACCACAAUUAAGUGGAAAUUGAAAGGAAAGUGAAAAUUCAGGUUCAGCAAAGUAUUUCAAGCUUGGCUUGAGGUAGGUGAUGGCUUUAAUGUAGUUGGAACCUAAUUUGUUUCAUUUGUACAUGCUAACUAUUUCUUAAUAUUUCUUUUGCAAUGUAUGUUCAAGGAAGUAAUGGUUGUUUGAUUUUCUAAGUAUUAAUUACAUAUAAUUAACUUUUAUAAAAAAUAUGUUGGUUGUUACAAAUAUCAUUUUGUAUUCAUUUUGGUUGUGGUUGUUGUAAUGUCUAUCAUCAUUAUGAGAUGUACCAAUAACUAUACAUAUUCAAAUAAGUGGUUGGUGUAAGGUUGCACUUGAUGUCUGAGAUUUGGUACAUGGUCAAGGGUUUAUGCGAGACCUCAUAAAACUUUGAUCAUUUUAUUUUUAACAUUUCAGUGUGCAUAAUGUCAAUUUUUAACUUGAACUGUGUUUAGGGGUGUUAAAAAGGUGCUUGGGGGAAGUUUCAGAUUAUUCAAAAGAGGUUUGAGGUUAUUUUGGGACCUCGAGGUGGUUAGGAUCUGUGAUAAGACCGUGUUACGGGUGUUAAGUUCUGCGAUAUCAGCAUGGGACGAAAGCUAUCCUCUGCGAUAACGACAUACCACACUAAUCUGUUAAUUUUAUGCAGUUUUUUUCACAUAGGUGAGGGGAUUUUUAUCUUUAUAUCCCUUGUACGACCUUUAAAUAUAAAAUAAACCUCUUCUAUUUAGUUUUCAAAGACCAAAUCAUCCAUUCUCUUAAAACACAAAACUCAAGAACAUUAAAGGCUUCAUACUACAUUCAUCAUCCAUGCUCCAAACAUCAAAUUGACUUCAAUUUUUUGUAUGUUUCAAGCAUAUUUCUUUUCUAAACUUUAAUUUUACACUAUGGAAUUAAUUUAAUGGAUUUUAUGUGAUUUAAAUUAUGAGUUUGAAACUAGAUUAAGGGUUUUGGGUUGUUACUAAUUUAAUUACAUAUCCCAUGCUUUGAACUGAUUAUUAAGUUGAUGUUUUGGGGAUUGGAUUGGUACAUUAUUUAAAUAGUUGGAAUGGGAGACAUAGGUUUCCCCAAAUUGGAUGAAUUUUAGCUUAGAAUUGCAUGAACCUCAAUCCACUUUGUAUAUUUGAUUUUUAAUAUGAAAAAUUGCACUGUUUAACUUAUUUUUAAACUCAAUACAUUGAAUUAAUGGAUAAUGGAUAUAAUGAUGCAUUUGAAUGGACUUGGUAGUCAUUGUUUAGAUUUUAAUUGAACUUAGGAGUCCAAUAUAGUUGUGCGGAUUGGUUUGAAAUGUUUAAUUUAGCUUGCAAGCAUAUUGGUUUGAUGAUACCAAGUGGUAAAUACCUUAAUGAAUGAAUCCUGGGCUAAUGGUUAGAAUUAUGUGCAAAGUGAUUUUAAUUUAGGUUUAAAAGGGAUAAUGUAUCUUUUUGUGAAGGUGUAUGUUCCAAGGGAAUAAAUACUAGAUAUCAUGUUCGCUGGUGUUGGGGGUUUAUAUGACUUUGUGAUUGAUACACACUUAAUAUAUAUAUAAAAUAUAUAUAUAUAUAUAUAUAUAUAUAUAUAUAUAUAUAUACUUGGGAUGGCUAUUUCCCAUGGUUUCUUUAGUUUUCCCUUUAUUUUUCCUUAGUUUGUACGUACAACUAACAAGCAUUGGGGCCCUGUUAAUAGAGAGAGUUGAACCCAUAUAGCCCACGGGUGUUUUUAGGAUGGAUCGAGCUAUACAGUCCAUAUUAAUGGUUUUAAAACUCUUAUGUUCCGGACCCAUACCCUAUCCUAGAAUCUUAUAUAUGUAUAUAUGAAUGUGUUUAUAUAGCUUUGAAUGAUUUUGGACAUGACAUUAGUUUAUCACCUUUCUUGAUUUAUAUUCCAGUGCUUAUCCCACUGGCUAUCUUUGGAUGCUAAAUCUUUUUAUGAUGCACGGUUUGGAGACUUUUCUGUUGCUCUUGUGUAAUGUUAGGUAGUUGAGCACGUCUAUUAAGUUUCUAUGAAGUGGUAAGCCUCCAUCUUUUUGAAUGCCUUGUCAUUUUAUUAAUCUUUCUUUGCUGACUUAGUACUGUUGUAUUUAUUUAUUUUUAUCAUAGUUGGGGGCAUGUCUUGACAUAGAUACUAUUCUUGUUUUAAAGGCUUUUGUGGACAAGUGUAGGUUGGUUAUUGUUUUGACUCUUAGUUUUCAUUUGAGUUAUCUAUUCAUCCUUUUACUACUAUGUUAUUGGCUUCUGCUUUAUUUUAAUUAUUAUUUUCUUGAGGUUAGAAUAAGAAGGUGGUCUCCAUUCUAUAAUAGGCUUGAGAUAUCCAUCAUGACUAGUCACUGGAUUGAGUCGUGAAAAGCUUGGUAUCAGAGAACGAUUUAGAGUCAUUAGGUGUCCAUAAAAUCAUUUUGAAUAGAGUUAUUUUUAUGUCUUUGUAGACCACCACACUGAUAAAUAGGAGGAUACAAAGCAUUUAGGAGUGUUUCCCUUUUUGUGUUCUAUGUUACAUUAAAAAGUCUAGUGUUAUGAAACUUCUCUAACUUCUAGCUCUCUCGUAUUUCAGAUCAUGCCUCGCUGAAGAUUUGGUGUUUGUAUAAGGUCUCUAGGUAAUCUAUUCUACUUAAGGAGAAUGUGGAGGGGACUUACCCUACUUUUAGAGUGAAGACCCGAUCUAAGAUCCCUACUCCUGAUUUUGUUGCUCUGUGUGGAGUUCUACCUGUCCCCUUAAGUCUUUCUCAAUUUUCCCAUGUCGGUGAUAUUUAUGCUCAGUCAGCUCAAAGUGAUAUCUCUAAUGCAGAGUUUCAUCAGUCUAUUCAUAGUCUUACUCAAUUAGUGGCAUCUCAGUGUCAUCAGUCUGACCUUGUUAGUAAUGUUCAUUCAUCUAAGUUCACUCAGGUUGGCUAGUUUAUGAGGUUGAAUCCCCCAACCUUUACAGGCUUCUAAGGUUAAGGAGGAUCCGCAGGGGUUCAUUGAUAAGAUGGAGAAAAACUUUAGGGUGAUGCAUGUUACUAAUAUAAAAGUCAUAGAGUUUGUUUCAUAUCAAUUCUAAGAUGUAACUUAUAAGUAGUAUGAUGAGUGGAAAGAUAUAAGGGGUGAUGAUGCUGAGAAGGUUGUAUGGGAUGAAUUUUUUGGUACCUUCCUGGAUUAUUUCUUUCCUCAGGAGUUAAGGGAAGCUAAGGCGGAGGAGUUUGUUAAUUUGAAGCAGGGUAAGAUUAGUGCCAAUGAGUGUACUUUGACAUUUUAAUAGUUGGUUCCAUAUACUUCAUAGUUGCUAUCAAACAUAAGAUCUAAGAUAAGAAAGUUUGUUUCUGGGUUGUCCCAUGACUUGGUAUUAGAGUGUAAGGUUGUAACAUUAAACAAUGAUAUCGAUAUCUCCAAACUUAUAGUAUAUAUGCAGUAAGUAAAGGAUGAUAAAAGAAACAGACAGAGAUGGAAGGGAGAAAGAAUAAGAACUUUAGAUAUUCAGAGUUGGGUGGUGGUCAGAAUAAUUAUGGAAAGAUGAUAGAAAAUGGAAAAGUAAGAAGAAUUAGGUAAAUUGAUAUUCAUCUACAUGUGCCCCUUAUCCUAAGCCUUCGGGUGAUUAUCAUUUUUAGACUAGGAACGGUCCUAAGGCACAGGGUACCUAGUCUCAGGCUUAUGGAGCUCAGUCAGUCCCACCUUAUCCUCUUUGUCAUUUUAGUGGACAUCUUCUUUGUGAUUAUUAUGAGGGGGGAAUAAAUAAUUUUAUAAUUGUGGUCAUCUUGGUCACAUACAGUGAGAUUGUCCUUUAUUCAAGGUUGCCACUAGGGCUAAUAAGGUCCUCAUUGCCAUAUUUUUAGCUCAUGUGCCAAAGUGUACUACUUCUGGUACUGCACUUACCAGAAUCAUCUCUAUAAACUCUCUACUCUCCAGGAAUCUGAGAUAUCUCAAGAUAAUUAUAACAGGUAUGUUACAACUCUUUUCUCAUGGAGUUUAUUAUUUUCUAGAUUCAGGUUCAACCAUUUCUUGUGUGACCUCUAAUGUGGCUAUGCAUUUUUGUUUUUGUCCUAAAAAUAUUUCCACCCCUUUCUCUAUGUCUACUCUGAUGGGUAAGUCUAUUAUUGCUAGAAAAUCUUCAGGGGUUGUGUGGUGUUGAUCUUUCAUAGGGAGACAUUAAUUGAAAUUGAUAUUGUACUAUGUGAUGCAAUCUUGGGUAUGGAUUGGCCUCAUUCGUGCUAUGCUUCUCUGGAUUAUAGGACCCAAAAGGUCAGUUUCCAUUUCCUUAAUAAAUAGGUAUUGAAUGGUAAGGGAGUUCCUUUAUACCCAAAGAGAGGUUUAUCUCUUAUCUUAGAGCAUAGAAAUUGAUUUCAAAAGAGCAUCUGUAUCAUCUAGUUCAGUGAAGGAUUUUGACUCUAAAAGUUCUUAUUGGUAAUAUGUCCCCAUGGUUAAUGAAUUUCCUGAAGUAUUUCUCGAUGAUCUUAAAAAAAUUGCUCUUGAUAGGGAAAUAGAUUUUGGGAUUGAACUUCUACUGGAUACUAUCCAAUUUCCAUUCCUUCUUAUAGUAUGGCUUUGGCUAAAUUAAAGAAGCUAAAGUAGGAAUUGUGAGUUUGAUAAGAGCUUUAUUUAUAUUAGUGUUUCUCCGUGGAGUGCACCUGUACUUUUCAUGUGAAAAAAGAUGGGUUCCUUCAGAUGUGUAUAGACUAUCGUUAGUUAAAAAGGUGACAGUAAAGAAUAAAUAUCCUCUUCCUAGGAUUGAUGAUCCCAGCUUUAAGGGACUAGAUGUUUCUCUAAGAUUGAUCUUCGUUCGAGUUAUAAUCAAUUUAAAUUAGGGAGGUUCAUAUUCCUAAGACUUCUUUCUGAAUAGAGUAUAGUCAUUUUGAGUUUUUAGUUAUGUUAUUUGGGUUGAUUGAUGCUCUAGCUACCUUCAUGGAUUUUAUGAACCAGGUGUUCAGACAGUUUUUGGAUUUAUUUGUGUUAUUCAUUGAUGAUAUCUUAGUCUAUUUUAAAAAUGAGUAGGAUCAUGCCAAUCACUUCAAAAUUGUGUUGCAAACCUUUAAGGAUAAAAAAUUGUAUGCAAAAUUUUCUAAGUGUGCAUUUUGGCAAAGUGCUGUGACAUUUCUUGGGCAUGUUGUUUCUACUGAGGGGGCCGAGGUUAAUCCAUAUAAAGUUGAGGUAGAUAAGAAAUGGUAUAAACCUAUGAUUCCAACCGACAUUAGGAGAUUUCUGGGUUUGGGUAGGUAUUAUAGGAGAUUUGUGGAGAGUUUCUCUUCUAUUGAUGCUUCAUUGACAAAGUUAACUCAGAAAAAGGUUAAGUUUUUGUUGUCUAAUUCUUGUGAAGGUAGUUUUUAGAAGUUGAAGGAUAAGUUGACUUCUGUGAUAGUUUUGACCCUUUCUGAGGGUAUUGAUGGUGUUGUUGUUUUUUGUGAUACAUCCUGUGUGGGACUAGGUUGUGUCUUGAUGAUGCAUGGUAAGUUUGUGGCCUAUGCUUCUAGGUAGUUUAAGGUUCAUCUACGGAAUUAUUUGUCUCACGAUUUACAUUUUACGGCUGUGGUUUUGAUUUAAAGAUUUAGCAUUAUUAUGUUUAUGAGAGGCAUGUGGAUAACUAUUAAGAUCAUAAGAGCUGCAAUAUGUAUUUACACAGAAAAAUUUGAAUAUCAGGUAGAGUUGGUGGCUCAAAUUAUUUAAGGAUUAUGACAUAGUCUUGUACUACCAUCAAGGUAAAGCUAAUGUUGUUCCUGAUGCUCAUAGCAGGUUAUCUAUGGGAAGUUUCUCAUAUGUUGAUGAGGAGAAGAGAGAAUUAGUGAAGGACAUUCAUAAAUUGGCUAACUUAGGAGUUUGUCAAAUUAUCUCUUGGUGUUGAGGUGAAGGAGAAAUAGUCUUUGGACCCAUACUUAUGCAGAUUAAGGAAUUUGUGGGUCAGCAAAAGGUUAUGGCUUUUGGUAUUGAGAAAGAUAACUUCUUGAGACAUCAAGGUAGAUUGUGUGUUCCUGAUAUUGAUGGGCUUCCAGAAAGGAUCAUCAUUAAGUCUCAUGAGUCCAGGUAUAUAGUUCAUUUGAGUUUGACUAAGAUGUAUCAUAUUUGAAGAAAUUCUACUUGUGGAACAUAUGAAGUGAGAUAUGGAAAAUUUGGUUGCUAAGCGUAUGAUUUGUCAAUAAGUCAAGAUUGAAUACUUGAGGCCUAGUGGUAUGUUUUAAGAGAUAGAGUCCCCAUGAAGAAGUGGGAGAUGAUUAAUAUGGAUUUUGUUAUAGAUCUUCCACGGUCUCACAAUUAGUAUGAUUAAAUUUGGGUCAUCUGCUUACUUCUUACCUAUGAGGGCAAACUACUCUGGAGAGGAUUAUGCUAAGUUAUUCAUUAAGAGAUUAUGAAGUUACAUGGUGUGCUAUUAUCCAUUAUUUCAGACGAUGUAUGAUGAGGACUGGGAAUGUCACGUAUGAGUUAGAUUUUCCUGCAAGUUUAGCUUUGAUCCAUUCUAUGUUUUAUGUGUCCAUACAAAAAAGUAUAUGGGUGGUCCUUUCUUGAUGGUACCUACUGAGGACAUUGGUGUGAUGGAUUCCUUGUCUGAUGGGGAUGUCUCUAUUGAAAAAUUGGAUUGCAAAGUUCAUAGAUUGAGAAGGAAGGAUGUAGAUUCGGUGAAGGUCAUUUAGAGAAAUCAAAAAGUGGAAGAAGCUACAUCGAAAGAUGAGGAAGAUAUGAAGGCCAAAUACCCAGUCUUGUUCCUCGGGUUGGAUGAAAGUUCUUAAAAUAUGAGUUUCAUUUUCCUCUGCUCACUUUCUGAGCUUGUUAUUUGAUUCUGGUGUAUUCUUGUGCUAAAAGUAUCCUAACUCAUCAUUUGGGGAUGAAUAAUCCUAAGGAGUGAUAAUGUGAGACCUCGUAAAACAUUGAUCAUUUUAUUUUUGACCUUCACAUAUGCCUUAUAUCAUUUUAGACUUGAAUUAUACUUAGGGUGUUAAAAGGGUGUGUGGGGUAAGUUUUAGAUUUUUCAGAAGGUGUUUAGGGUAAUUUUAUAACCCCGAGGUAGUGAGGGUUCGGGAUAAGGCCGUUUCAAGGAAGUUAACUUCUGUGAUAUCAGCGUAGCAUGAAGGCUAACCUCUGCAAUAAUGGUGUACCAUGCCAAUGUGUUAAUUUCAUCCAGUUUUUGUUUUUUCACUUGGAUAAGAGGGUUUGAUUUUUCACCCCUUGUACGACCUUUAAACAUAAAAUAAGCAUCUUUUCUUUAGUUUUAAAGAUUAAAAUUCUCCAUUCUCUCUCAAAACUCAAAACCUAAGAACAUUCAAGGGUUUCACAGUGCAUUCAACAUUUAGGCUCCAAACAUCAUAUUGAUUUCAAUUUUCUAUGUGUUUCAUGCAUGUUUCUCUUUUUUAAACUUUAGUUUUAUAUUCACGCAUUAAUUGAACGGAUUUCAUGUGAUUUAAACUGUGGAUUUUAAAAUUGGGUUAAGGGGUUUUAGUUAUUACAAAUUGAAUUAUGUGCCUCAUGUUGUGAGUUGAUUAUUCAUUCUUUAAAUUGACUUUUUGGAGUUGAAUUGGUACAUUAUUUAAAUAGUUGGAACGGGGGACCUGGGUUCCCCGAAUUGGAUAAAUUUUUGCUUAGAAUUAUAUGAACCUCAACCCACUUUGUAAAUUUGAUUUUUGUUAUGGAAAAUUACAAGGUUUAACUUGCUUUUGAACUCAAUGCAUUGAAUUAAUAGAUAAAUAGAUAUAAAAAUAGAUUUGGAUGGCCUUGGUGGUCAUGGUUUUUAUUUUUAAUGGAACUUAAUAGUCUAGUUUGGUUGUGUGGACUAGUCUGGCAUGUUUAAUUUGGCUUUCAAGCAUAUUGGUAUGACAAUUCCAAGUAGUAAAUGUCUUAAUGAAUGAAUCUAGGGUAAAUAGUUUGAAUUAUGUGCAAAGUGAUUUUAAUUUUGGCUUAAAGAAGGUUGUGUAGCUCUCUGUCAAGGUGUAAGUCCUGGGAGGUUGAACACAAGUAACCACGUUUGUCAAAUUUGAGGGUCUAUAUGACCAUGUGCUUAAUACACACUUGAUAUGGUGGCUUUAGUUUUCCCUUGAUUUUUCCUCGGUUCAUACGGCUAACACGCACUAAGUCUUUUCAACAGGGAGAGAUGAACCUAUAUAGCUGAUGAGUGCCUUAGCAUUGAUUGAGGUACAAGUCCAGGUUAAUGGUUUUAAAACUCUCAUGUUCAUGACCCUUACCAUAUCCCAACAUAUUAUAUAUUUAUAUAUAAAUGUGUGUAUGUGGUUUUGACCGAUUUUGGACAUGGCAUUAUUUUAUUACUUUCCCUGAGUUACAUGUUAAUUCUUAUCCCACUGACCAUCCUAGGAUGCUACAUCAUGAUGUAUGGUCCGAAUAUAUUUUUUGUUGCUCCUGUGUAGUGUUUGGUGGUUGAGCACGUCUGUUGAGUUGUCGUGAAGUGGUGAGCUUCUAUCCUUUGGAAGGCCAUUUCAUUUUAGCAUUCUUUCUUUAUUGAUUUAGUUCUAUUGGAUUUUUAUUUUGGUCAUAGUCGGGGGCAUGUCUUAACUUAGAUGUUAUUUUGGUUUUAGUGGCUAUUGUGGACAAGUGUGGGUUGAUUAUUAUUUUGACUCUUAAUUUUCAUUUGAGUUAUCUAUUCAUCUUCCUACUAUUGUUUGAUUGGUUUCCAGUUUAUUGUAAUUAUUGUGCUUUUGAGUUUAGGCUAAGGGGAUGGUCUUCGAUCCAUGGUGGUCUUGAGAUACCCAUCAUGACAAAGCUCUGUUUUAGAUCGUAACAAUUUAUCCCCUACAGGUCAUGGCUAAUAGGUUACCAUAAGACCCUUAAUAUUUAUGCACAAGGUACAAGAGUGUGAGAGUUCCUUAAGCAAAUCGAGGAUUAUGUGUUUUCUUUUUUAUAUUGGAUUGUUAAGUGAUUCAAUCAUAUGUAUUUUCAUUUUUAUGCUGGUUCCUUGAGUGAAUUGGAUUUAUGUGCUUAAUUACUAAAGAUGUUUUCUUUAUGUAACUCAAGAUACAUGAUAUUGCCAUUAAUACUAUUCUUCUGGAUCCUUAAGUGGUUCCAGCUAAUUACAAGUUGUAGCAUACUUUUUGUUGUCUAUUACAUGUGUAAUUAGGAUAUGCUUUACAUUAUUAUUGUGUCAAAGUUGUAUGACUUAGUGUCUUAUUAGUGGUAAUAGUUUGACUUGACUUAUUAUCCUUGCCACCUUAUAUUGGCUAAGUUCAUGUUAUACUUAUUAUAAGGUUAACUAUAUGAACUUGAGGUAGCAUUGCAUGAUAGGUUUUAUGGUUUUUUGGUUGUUCUGUAUUAUGGUUAUGUAUUCAUAUUUCUCAUUUUGGGUUGGUCGAUGACCCUAUUGGCACAUCAUUGUUUCUUGUAUGGCGAUACUACAAGUGCUCUUCUUUUUUAUGAGUGCAGAGCAUAUUCUAGUUACUAUUCUAAGACCUCAACUGUAAUUUAGACCAUAUUCAAACUCAAGAUUAAGUUACAUCUUUUGGUUACUAUGAGUUUGUCACUCAUUUUUUUGGUCCAUUGUUCAGACUUUAACAUUUCUUUAGUUUUGGGGUUGCACCCCCUUUUUUAUAAUUAUUAGAGUUUUGGUACAAUGACUUUAAGCUUUAUGGGGAUUAAUUAAUGUUUAUUAUUUCUGCAUUUAUCUUCAUUUGAGAUGUUGAAUACUAGUUUAAUUAAUGAGAUUAGUUUAGUUGACUAUUUUUGGCUAAGUAUUGAAUGGUUUACAUGGUUAGUUCAUUCUACUAUCGAGGGUUAGUGCAGGUGCCACUCAUGAUAGGUUUUGUUGUGACAUAGUUUCUAUUAGAUCCUUAGAUUCAUUGAUCACAUUAUACAAAAUAGGUCUAUUAAAGUAUUGCAAAAUUAUAUAGAGAUGUUUGUACUUUUCUUUGAGAUACUAUAACUUUUAGAAAAUAAUCCUUUUAAUCCCAAUUGGUAUUAGUGAUCCAAAUUAGUGUCUGACCUUCUUUAUUCUUUUAUACAUAUAUAUGGAAGACUAGAUCGAAUGAAGCACAAGCAAUAAUCCCAGUACCAACAACUCUAUUUGUGGAACUGACUAUUUAGGGAAAAGGACAAUGAAGGGGCAAGCGGGAAGAGAAAGAGAGAAAAGAAAACUCCCAAGGGUGGCACUCAGGCAUUAGCUAACAAGACCACCAUAGGUUAGUAUCACCUCCCACACCUCAAGAUCAUUUGAGGAGGUUGAUGGAGUGGAUGAGGAUGGCUUAAAACAAAAUAUAACAAUACUAACUAGAGGUGCAACCCUUUUUCUCGUGUCUUCAAGGGUUUUCAACAUGUUUUGGAUUUUUUGAAUGGGUUAGAUAGUACUUGAGCCACUCCCAUUGUGCUAUUUUUCAGGUAUUGGGUACUUAUUCUACUACUGCUUUAUCUUCUAUAGUCGACGAGGUUUCAAGGAUUUAUUCGUUCUCCUAUCUUAUUUUACUCCCCAUCAUGACUAGUAUCAAACAUAAGUUGCUGCCUAAGUUUCUGAAAAUAAAAACCGCUUUAUUUUAUGGUGCUGAGACUGAGGAUGUCUUUGAGAUUGUCAUUGAUUUCUAUGAGAGGCUACAUAAGUUAUGGAUUAUGAAAUAACAUGAUGUUGAGUACGUGACUUUCAAACUACAAAGAAUACCAUGUAGUAGUGGAGAGCCAAUUUGGAGUUUCAGUCACUAAUUACCUCUAUUAACAUAGUGUCAGUUUCAUGCCUAUUUAUUGAGAAGUAUGUAUCAUGUAUUAUUUAUGAUUGCAAGAAGGAUGUUUUCCUGGCACUUGGGUGAGUAGUAUAUCAGUUGCAGCCUAUGAGGCUAAGUUCCAUAUGUUAUCUCAUAAGAAGGAGAGGAUCCAAUUAUUCAUUAAAAAUUUUAACACUGAUCUUCAAGUAUUAUAUACUUAUAUGGCUUCUGCAGGAAAGGGUUUCAAUGAGAUGUAUAAUUAAGUGAAAAAUUUUGAGGGUAUUAAACAAAUUAUCUAGGUGAAGGCAUUAGCCAAGAAGUCCCAAAAUAUGGGCAACUUCGGUGGUUCUUAUUCCAAUGGUCAGAGUGAAUAGGCUUAUCAAGCUUGCCCAAUUCAAUCUAUUUUGCCAGCCUCUAUAAGUGGUCAUUUAGGGGCUAUUCAGUAUCCCUUGGUUGCUAGAGUCUAAGGGGUUUUUUAAUCCUUAUACAACGAGCCUUCUCUUGAGCGAUGCUAUUAUUUUCAUUGUGUUAUAGGUAACUUCAAGAAAGAGUGUAUUUUGAGAUAUAUAGGUAACAUACAUAGCAACAAACCAAGGCUGGGAUUUCAGUAGGUAGAUAUAGAAGUGUUAAUGCUAAGGGUUAUUCAUUGGAGGACAGGGUAUAAUUAGGGAGGUCGUAGAGAAAAUUUGAUGGUAAUACUAGGAAGGGUGGAUUAUAACUUAUUGUAGAGGUUUCCUAGCUUAAUGAUAGAGUUCACAACUAUGCCUUCCCAGUCAUGACUGAGGCUGAGGUGGCUGACGUUGUUAUCACAGGUACUAUGCUAGUUUUUGACUGGAUGGCUCCUAUUUUAUUUGAUCCAAAGUCUUUUUAAUCAUAUGUAUUUGUUACAUUUCUAUUGAGUCUAGGCUUGGCGUGUAAUGUAAUUGGUACUCCUCUUUAUGUUUCUACUCCAUUUUGAUAUUCUGUAUAGUCACCCAUGUAUAUCGUGCAUGUUCUAUUUUGCUCAUAGGAUUAUGGACUUGGGUAUACUUUAUCAUUUUGGACAUUCUUGAUUUUUGUAUCAAUUUGGGUAUGACUUGGUUGUAUCCAUAUCAUAUUGUCUUGAACUGUAAUGGUAAGACAUUGACUCAAGAAAUACCUAGAAGAAAUAAAUUAGAGUGAGAGGAAGCAUAUGAGUCUAAGCCGGUGAGGAUCAUAUCUUUUACUUGGGUUCGAAAGGUAGUAGGGAAAGGGUUUUCAUCCAUCCUAAUUCAUCUUCUAUAUGUUAGUUUAGAGUCCCCUUCUAUUAAGUCAAUUCCUAUGGUUUUAGAGUUUUAGGAGGUAUUUCCUACGAAUUUUCUCGGUAUGUCUUUUACAUGGGAUAUUGAUUUUUGUAUUAACUAACAGUUGGGCACUCACCCAAUUUCUCUUCCUCAUUAUCGUAUGGAUCUGGAAGAGUUAAAAGAACUAAAAAUUCAGUUACUAGAACUACUCAAUAAGGGAUCUAUUCAUCCCAAUGCUUUACUUUGAGAUGCGUCGGUGUUAUUCGUUAAAGAGAAAUGGAAGCAUAAGGAUGUACAUUGCUUGUAAGCAUUUGAACAGGGUUACUAUCAGGAAUAAGUAACCCCUGCCCUGUAUAGAUGAAUUAUUUGAUCAAUUGUAGGGUGGUUCUAUAUUCCCUAAGAUGGACUCGAGUUUGAGUUAUCAUCAGCUGAAAAUUUGGCCUAAUGAUAUACCUAAUAUAUCUUUUAGGAAUCAAUAUGGGCAUUACGAGUUCUUAGUCUUUUAGGUUGACAAAUGCACUAACAAACUUCAUGAUCUUAAUGAAUUAUAUUUUCCAAGUCUUUCUUAGGUUAUUUUGUGACAAAUUUUAUUGAUGACAUUUGGUUUACUCCAAGAGCAAGGAGGAGCAUAUAUGUGAUCUUUGUAAUUUUUUUGGGAAUUUUGAAGGAAAAGUAGUUGUAUGCAAAUUCUACAAAUAUGAGUUAUGAUUCUCUUUGCUUGACUUCUUAGUGCAUGUGGUCUUGGAAAAGGGGAUGAUGGUAGAUUUCCAGAAGAUUAAAGCAGUUAGGAGUUUGGUUCGACCUAGCUUUAUAACUGAGGUUAGGAGAUUCGUAGGUCUUGCUAGUUAUUGUCGUAGGAUUGUCAUGAAUUUUUCUUCUAUUGAUACUCACUUGACAAGGUUGACUCAUAAUGAGGUAUCAUUUAUAUGGUUGGAUAACUGUGAGGAAUGAUUCUAAAAGCUUAAGAGAUUUUUUACUACAACUCUUAUUCAUUCGUUACCAGUUGAAGACAAGGAUUUUAUGGUAUAUUGUAAUGCUUCACUCCAGGGUUUAAGUAUUAUGGUUAUGUAGGACAGGAAUACAAUUGUUUAUGCUUUAAUUCAGUUAAAGACUCAUGAAAAAAAUCACCCAACUAAUUACUUGAAGAUGGCAGGUGGUAUUUGCACUUAAUACUUGGAGACACUACCUUUAUGAUGUUAACUGUGAGGUAUUCACAUACCAUAAUAGAAGUAUGUGUUCACACAAACGGAUUUGAAUUUUAUUCAAAAGAGAUGAAUGGUACUGUUGAAAGAAUAAGAUGUGGCGAUCCAGUAUAUUUCGAGUAAGGCCAAUGUGGUGAAAGACGCAUUGAUACAAAAAAGGUAAAUAUAGGCAGUUUGACCGGUUUGAGGGUUUCAAGGAGACUUUUGGAUAGGAAGUUUCAAGCUCUAACAUCUUGGUUUAUGCAGUUUAGCGUUUCAUGAAGGGGUUGAGAAUUGACUAGUGUUGAGGUAAAGUCAAUAUUCCUUAAUAUCAUAAAGGUUAAAUAGUUUAAGUAUAGGAAUUUGAAUAGACCCCAUAACAACGUGGUGUUUGGUAAGGCUUCAUAUGCCAUACUUGACAUGGACGGAGUAUGGUGGCUUAGAAGGCAAGUCUGUGUUUCUUGAAUUGGUGAUUUGAUUUAGAAUGUGCUUGCUGAAGCUUUUGGCUCGCUAUAUUUUUUUUUCAUCCAGAUGUAACCAAGCUAUAUUAUGAUUUGAGAAAGCUUUAUUUGUGGCUUGAGAUGAAAAGGGACACAAUAGAGUAUGUAUCCAAAUGUCACACUAUCAAUAGGUAAAGUGCGAGCAUCAAAGGACUGCGGGUUUGAUCCUAGGGAUACCAUUCCGUAGUUAAAGUGGGAGCAGAUAGCUAUAGAUUUGUGGCAGGUCUUUCUAAGAUAAUAACAAAGCAUGAAUUGAUUUUAUUUAUAGUGUAUAGGUUGACUAAUCAGCCCAUUUAAUUUUGAUAAGUGUGGAUAUCAUGUCAAAGAAGUUGGCCAAUAUCUAUGUCAAAGAGCUAGAGAGUCUACUUAGGGUACCCUUACCAUCAUUUUAGAUAGAGGUAUGCAAUUUGCUUUUAAAUUUUGGUAUAAUUUUCUUGAAGAAUUGGUAACUUAACUCACUUCAGGCACAACUGUUUAUCCUCAGAAUGAUAGACAGGCCGAGAGGAUAAUUCAGGUGCUUGAGGAAAUAUUAACGGCAUAUGGGUCACGCUCCUAGAUAAAAAGGGCAUUGAAAGAAUGGGAGAAUGAUCGAUAUGAAUACUUGUUAACAAAUGACAUGCAUUAAGCUAAUGAUCCAUUAUUCAUAAGGCAAUUACAAGAGUGGUUCAUAAGCAGCAUUGACCAAAUGGUCACACUAAUAUAGUACACAAUUAAAUUUAUGAUUACAUAUGAUAAAAUUACAGUUUUUAUGAAACCUCAAAUAAUAUUUUUAAUUACACAAUAAUGAAUGGUCAGGAUAGGUCUCGAGACACUUAAGCAAUAACUCUAACUAUGAAUUGAGGAGUGCUACACAUCUAUUACCUCCAGAUGAUCGAACAACUCACCAACUGCUAUGCUGAAUAGAAAUGAUUGCUUAAUAUAAAAAUCUACUAUUGGGUGUACCUGAUCCUAAAUAUACAAAGGUGUGGCACCCCAAAUACAAGAUGUACUAGUACAUAAAGCAAAUUGAAUAACAAGUAGACAUAUAAAGAUGCUUAGUAGAUUGAAUGAUAACAUGAGAAAUUAUGGACAGCUAAAUACUAGAAACUCUCAUCUUGACUAUAGUUGAGGAGAUACAAGUGACUAAUACACAAUAUAAAAUAUAACCUUUGAAUUUGUCUUAUUAUCUCAUCGUGUAACAUCUUAUGAGUAAUUCAUCAUUACGAAGCUCCUAGUAAUUUGUGUAGGUGAUGUCUUAUGCCUACUUUUAAUUCAAACAAUCAUAUAAUUGCCUACCAUAGGCAAUCUAGAUAAACUGCAAACCAUAUGUUUCUCAAAUACCAAUCGAUUUGAUUUGAAACAUAUAACUGUAAUUACAGUAUAAUACAAGGUAUGUCCCCAUGUGCUCACUAUGAGGGUCUAUCCGAAGGCCAUAUGUGUCAUAUAUCAGCUUGAGUCAGAAAACCUAGUGCAUGACGUUCUACCUGACCCCAAAUAAAAAUGAUGCCACAAGGGCGGGUACACUAUAAUGUUCGGGAUCAUAAUAACGAUUAGAUCCCAAUUUUAUGCAUAAAAUCACAUUGAACAUGUGUUCUAAGCCAUACCUAUGAAUACGCUUCCAUAGUUAACUUUUAUCAAGUAGUGCCUUAUAGGUCUACACAAGUAUAUUAUGAUAAAUACUUUUUAUCCAUUCAAGUAAUGCUUUCUAUAUAAAACUACAUUUAUCCAUUUAAGUAGUGUUUACCAUAUAAACCUAAAUUCUUUGAUAGCAUCAUGCUAUUUAAACACCAGUUUCAUAUAUCAUUAAAUGACUAUAUCGCUAUAUGGCCCAAUUUACUAGACCGAUUAUAGUAUGGCCAUUUAUUCUAACAUAUAGCAUGUGAUUUAUAUACCAUAUAAAUUCUAUGAAUUUUUUAUGAACACGAAUACAAUCCUGUAUAACACUAUAAAUACUUGACUCGACAAGAGUAAUAUGAAUACUAUGACAUCAAUAAAUAAACGCAUGAAAGGUGGAAACAAAUAAUUUCAAAUGAAAAGAAUGUGUGGAUAUUGUGGCCACAUCAGGCAUAUAUACAUGUGUUGGACACAUAGAAAGUGAAGAUUCUGUUCAAAUAUAUCAAGUAGACUAUGUACGCUCUUUUUUAAAAUACAAGUCAUUAUGGGUCUUGCCUUAACGGCGAAGGUGGGUUAAGCUUUACAUACCUUUGGUUCUUCCUAUCUAACUCCACAUUUAUGAUCCCGAGAAUCCUAAUCUCAACCGGCACUUAAAGCCUUGACAUGAAAACUCUAAUAAUCUAUUAUCCAAGUAGAUUGAUGACAUUAUAAUGUGCAAUAUGAUUAGCUAUCCAUAGAAAUUAAAAUCAAAAAGUCAAUCACAUAUUCCAUAAAAUAUGUAUCACUGUCUUCCUACACUUAUUUGAUCAAGUACUUACACAAAUGUAAUGACACCAUAGAUAUGAAAACAAAAAGACCAUAUAAGAUUUAGUCUUUUCUAUAUAGUAGAAGAGAUGGUUUCGACACCUCUGCUACAUGAAAUUACCAAAAAGAUAUAAGAAAAAUUUGGACUUUAAAUAUAUGGGUUGCUAAAAAUAAUUAUACUUUCUAUUGUGUAAUGUGUAUUCUAUUAAAGUCUUUAAAAAAUUCCCACCUUCUUACAUUUAAUCACAGACCAUGCCACUAUAAAAAGCUCACCUACUUCUACUUAAUUACAUACCAUGCCCCAAAUAUAAAAUGAUUCCAUUGUUCCAUUAUAAUGGUUUAAAUAUUUAAUAUAUUCUAUUAAUUUAUAUUUAAUAACUUUAACUAUAUAUUUGAAAUAAAAAAAUUAUUUAUUUAAUAGGCUAUCAUGUUCAAAAAUAAUUUGUUUAUAUUUAUUUUAAUAAAUUAAAGAAGAUUUAUUAUUUUUGUCUUAUAUAGAAAUACCAAAUUUAUUAUUGUGAGAGAUAAACAUAAUGCAAUAUCCAAUAAUGUUUAAUAAUACAUAUUUUGUAUAUGAAAAAUAUAGCAUUCCGUAUUUAAUUAAUAUACUACUCGAGUGAGUUAUCAAUGAUUAAUAAUAUUUAAUAAAAAAUAAAAUAGACAUAAAAUCUGAAAUUAACUCUUGAUGUUUUAAAUUAAAUUGUCGUCUUUCAAACGAUGAUUUUACUAUGCCACCCCUUAUAAUAAGUCAUUUAUGUAUUAUAAAAUUAAGAAUAACAAAAUGAUAUGUCAACAUAAGAAAUUUGAUUGACUAUCAAAAUUUUAUUAGUGUCGUAUAAUUUAGGACGGGAUAGAGGAAGUUAUAAAGCAACAUAUAUUAUUUGAAAAAUGAAAUAACAAUAAUUAACAAAAAUAUUCUAAAAAUUAACUUGUUGCCAAAAUUUUAUCCGUGCAUAUCUUAUUGAAAAAUUAUGUAAAAAAGUAUUAUAAAUCAGAUAAUUAACAUCUUUAAAAAUUUAAAAAUAUAAAAUAUUUGGAUGACUCUCAAAAUUAUAUCAUUGUUUAUUAAAUUAAAAUAGAAGAAAAAGUAGUAUAAAUCACAGGCUGCUUGCUCCAUGAUUUUACUAUAUCGCCCUUAACGAAUUAUUAUAAACUAUUAUAUAUUUAAAAAAUUAGUAAUAUUUAAUUAAAAAAUAAAAUAGACAUUUAUGACAUGUCUGCUUCAGCUGCUUUAAUCAUGAUUUUACUGUAUCAUCCCUGAUUAAUAAUUAUAAGUCGUUUAUGUAUUGAAAAAUUAAUAAUGUUGAAAAUGUGAUAUUACUAUAUCACCCAUAAUUAAUUAUUAUGAGUUAUUUAUGUAUUAAAUAUAAAUAAUAUUUAAUUAUAAAAAAAUAAAAUAAACAUUUAUGACAUGUCUGAUUCAGCUGUUUCAAUCGUGAUUUUAUUAUAUCACUCCUAAUUAAUUGUUAUAAGUCAAUUAUGUAUUAAAAAUUAAUAAUAUUUAAUUAAAAAAAGUAAAAUAGACAUUUAUGACAUAUCUGCUUCAGCUGCUUCAGUCAUAGUUUUACAAAAUAUCACUCCUAAUUAAUUAUUAUAAGUCAUUUAAGUAUUAAAAAAUUAAUAAUAUUUAAUAAAAAAUCAAAUCGAUAUAAAACUGAUAAAUUAACUCUUGAUGUUUUAAAUUAACUUAACGUCUUAUAUAAGGUCUACUUAAAUUUUUUUCACAAGUAUUUUUUAUAGUAAUUUUGCUAUGUCAUUUCUAAUUAGUUGUUGUAAAUCAUUUAAUACAUUUAUGCUUUGUUGCUUCAGUCGUGAUUUUACUAUAUAACCCUUAAUUAAUUAUUAUGGUCACUUAAGUAGUGUGCCACUUAAAUUUAAAUAGAAAAAAUAUCACAAAUCACAAUGAUUAAAAAUUUAAAUUAUUUAAAAACUAUAAUUGGCUACCGUUGACACAACACUUUGGACAAGAAAAGUAACAUAUAUUAUUCAAAAAUUACAUCAAAAGUAUUAUAAAUUACAAUAGUUAAUAAGUUAAAAUAUCUAAAAAUAAUUUAAUCUGUUAUAUAUUUAAAAAAAAAACAUAAAAAAUACUAGAAAUCACAAUAAUUAAUAACUUAAAAAAUUUAAAAGAUAUAAAAUAUUUGGUCUACUCUCGAAAUUAUAUUAGUGUCACUUAAAGUGGAAUACAAGAAAAGUAUUAUAAAUCACAAUAAUUAAAAACUUAAAUUAUUUUUAAAAUAUAAUUGACUAUCAAUGCCAUAAAGAUUUGGAGAAGAAAAGUAAUGCAUAUUAAUUUAAAAAUUACAUAAAAAAUAUUAUAAAUUACAAUAGUUAACCACUGAAAUUAUCUAAAUACAUAUUAAAAUAACAUAUGCUGAACACAUGCUAGAUUCCGGAUGAAUCUUAGAAAACAUAUCCAUUCCUUUUAUUAAAAAAUUUUAUUUAAAUAUAUCAAGAUUGAAAAGAUAAAUAAAUAUCUUAAUAUCGAGCCCGUGCUGAAACGGGUCAUGCUCCUCUUAUAUAUAAUAGGUACAAUAGUAUACGAAUGGACAAUAUUUCUAUGUGAUAUACGGUUUGGGUUAAAACCCAAAAUCAUAUUUUGACUAAUAUAAAGUAGAUUUCUAAUAUGACAAAUAACAUAAGAAUUUAUGGGACGUGAUUUGUUUCCAAGCUUGACAUGAAACUACUGUAGGUUUUCAAGAAAUUUCAAAAAAAAUCAUGCUUAGCUUCAUAAUAUAAUAAGGACUGACUAUAUGCACUACAAACAUAAAUAGAUGUAAUAUAUUGGAGGAAGAGCUUACCGUAGCUGUUGGAGGAGCUAGAGAGAAAUUUUAUCCUUGAUUUUUGAAGAAGAACUCAAGUAAGGGCUUAUGUAAUGUAAGGAGGUAAAAGGGUGAAGCUAAUGACUUCUCCAGAUCGGCUAUGGAACAAUCUCUCUCUCUCCC